AACGAACGCUGGCGGCAUGCCUAACACAUGCAAGUCGAACGAGAUCUUCGGGUCUAGUGGCGCACGGGUGCGUAACGCGUGGGAAUCUGCCCUUUGGUUCGGAAUAACAGUUGGAAACGACUGCUAAUACCGGAUGAUGACGAAAGUCCAAAGAUUUAUCGCCAGAAGAUGAGCCCGCGUAGGAUUAGCUAGUUGGUGUGGUAAAGGCGCACCAAGGCGACGAUCCUUAGCUGGUCUGAGAGGAUGAUCAGCCACACUGGGACUGAGACACGGCCCAGACUCCUACGGGAGGCAGCAGUGGGGAAUAUUGGACAAUGGGCGAAAGCCUGAUCCAGCAAUGCCGCGUGAGUGAUGAAGGCCUUAGGGUUGUAAGGCUCUUUUACCCGGGAUGAUAAUGACAGUACCGGGAGAAUAAGCUCCGGCUAACUCCGUGCCAGCAGCCGCCGUAA
rnacentral:rRNA from 1 species